rnacentral:rRNA from 1 species
ACCUGCCCUGGACUCUGGGAUAAGCGCUGGAAACGGCGUCUAAUACUGGAUAUGAGACGUGAUCGCAUGGUCGUGUUUGGAAAGAUUUUUCGGUCUGGGAUGGGCUCGCGGCCUAUCAGCUUGUUGGUGAGGUAAUGGCUCACCAAGGCGUCGACGGGUAGCCGGCCUGAGAGGGUGACCGGCCACACUGGGACUGAGACACGGCCCAGACUCCUACGGGAGGCAGCAGUGGGGAAUAUUGCACAAUGGGCGGAAGCCUGAUGCAGCAACGCCGCGUGAGGGAUGACGGCCUUCGGGUUGUAAACCUCUUUUAGCAGGGAAGAAGCGAAAGUGACGGUACCUGCAGAAAAAGCGCCGGCUAACUACGUGCCAGCAGCCGCGGUAAUACGUAGGGCGCAAGCGUUAUCCGGAAUUAUUGGGCGUAAAGAGCUCGUAGGCGGUUUGUCGCGUCUGCUGUGAAAUCCCGAGGCUCAACCUCGGGCCUGCAGUGGGUACGGGCAGACUAGAGUGCGGUAGGGGAGAUUGGAAUUCCUGGUGUAGCGGUGGAAUGCGCAGAUAUCAGGAGGAACACCGAUGGCGAAGGCAGAUCUCUGGGCCGUAACUGACGCUGAGGAGCGAAAGGGUGGGGAGCAAACAGGC